rnacentral:rRNA from 1 species
GAUCAUGGCUCAGGAUGAACGCUAGCGGCAGGCCUAACACAUGCAAGUCGAGGGGCAGCACGGUGUAGCAAUAUACUGGUGGCGACCGGCGCACGGGUGCGUAACGCGUAUGCAACCUACCCAUAACAGGGGGAUAACACUGAGAAAUUGGUACUAAUACCCCAUAACAUCAGGACCGGCAUCGGUUCUGGUUGAAAAACUCCGGUGGUUAUGGAUGGGCAUGCGUUGUAUUAGCUGGUUGG